CUAAAAAGGAAUGUCUUUUUGCAUGUGGAAUUCCAUGUUGUCGGAAUACGUUCGAUUUCUUACGGGAGGCGUAGUAAUAAAUGAUUACUCCUUUCGUUCGAGAUAAAGUUAAACACCAGUGUCGUGAAAGUUUGUGUCAAUAUCACUGUUCGCAGUUGUGUGAGGUAUCCUCAGGUUAUAAUCCAGUGCAAUAUGUUGAACGUAAUUGUUUUAUCAUGUCAAACUGACCUGCUCGCUUGGAAUUCUCGCACACGACUGCCUAUAUCCGAUAUAAAGUUGUUUGUUAAAUGACUCAUAACUUGACGUUAUUGAAGAGAAUUACGUGAGAGGGAUCAGAGAGCAAGAGAGAGAGAGAGAGAGAGAGAGAGAGAGAGAGAAACAGAGAAAAAGAAAGAGAAAAAUAAUACUUUGAUCAUUUAUAGAGAUCUGUUGUGUGUAAAUAAAAAAGUGCAUUAUGUAUAGCGAGAAAAAAAAUGAAUGCCUGCGAUGUCAUAUCCAAAAUGGUCAGUUCUCUCCCGGGUUCUCUUUUACUUUUGGUAUCCAUUAACAGUUGAU